rnacentral:lncRNA from 1 species
AACUGACUGAGGUGUCAGAGUGAAUUUUUUAAAUUCCAUUUACCUGGUUUUGAAAAAAUCAAUUUCCUAAAACUGGACAUGGUAGAUACCUAAUGAAUGUAAUCCUAGCACUUGGGAAGCUGAGGCAGGAGGAUUGCCACAAGUUAAGAGAUUAGUCUGGGCUUAAUACUGAAUUCCAGGUCUCUAUAUCUCAACACCUUCUCCUUCCAGCCAAAAAAGUCAUCAGUCUUUGUGUUUCCCUGGCAACAGGGGAAGAGAAUCUUCAGAGGUCCAGCCACGGGGACUCCUGCCUGGGUACCAUUGUUGUGAAAUUCAUUAAUCAGGAGCCCAAGCCACAAGCUAAGUUUGCCUGUUAUUUCUCCCAAACCCUUCCCAUACACCUCUACUGCCUCUUAAGUGGGUACAGACCUGAGACCCGGAAGUAAACUGAGAAUGGAAAAGAGUUGGUCAGUUGUCCUUGCAAAUCUUUAAAUGAUCUGUGCCUUUCAGAUGUUCCAGUAGAGCAGACAGGUGACUGGCUGCGUGUUCAGGAGUGUGUUUUUAUAUCUGGACGGCUCUGACCAUUCCUAGUGGUUUUCAUGUCCUUUAUUUUUACUGCCUUAGAAUAAACCCUGACUCCAUGAGGCAUCCACUGAGGAAAGAGUUGCAGCAAACCCAGGUGUGCACUCAUGGCUUCUCACAGACACUGCUUCCACUUGCCUGCGGAAGUGUGGAGAGCUGUGUGUUGCGCUGGAUUAGUGAUGGAAGAAAGGCUAGAAGCUAGGCACAGUAGCGUACCGCUGCAAACAGGGCACUCGGGUGGUACAGAAAGAAGGAAUUCCAGGGCAGCCUAGACUGCACGACACACUGUCCCAAAAGAGAAAAUCCAUCCAGGGCUAAAGCCUGAAUGCCAGGCUGCACUUGCAAUCACUUAGUUGUGAUAGCCUUAAAAUUUGAAAGUCAGGGUUUGGGUGCACAAGGCAGCAGCAGAAGAUAUGCUUAGCUUGCACAAUGCCCUGGGGUCUGUCGUCAGUACACAAAAACAAUACAGUUAAAUCUAGAAGUCUUGACGGUAAUAUAAGAAUGACUAUUUUUUUAUGAUAUCAGGUACUUUUAACCCCAGAACUUGCGAGGCAAGGACAGGUGGAUCUCUGUGAGUUUGAAGCCAGCCUGUCUACAUAACAAGUUCCAGUCCAGCCAGUGAGUGAAACCCUGUCUUUAGAGGGGGGUAGGGGGCUAUUUUUCCCUCUUUUCUUCAUAGCAUUCUCCACCUGUUUCAAUAACAGGCACUGCGUCGGGGCCCAUAGCAGCGCCAUUUGAGGACUCCACCCCACCAGAAACCUGCCUUUCACUUCAGUAAAGGGAAUUAUGAGUGCUUAACGUCUGUGGAUCAGGAGCAGGUUCCCUGGGACCAUACUGUCACAACUUAAUAAUAAGGAAGAGGAGAACAUUGUCAACAAUGUACUGCACUCUCUUUGUUUUAGUGUCUGCUGUGUGUUUGUCACUUUGUAUAUUUCAUAGGAAACACCAGAGAUUCUGGACUUUUGACUCAGUAGACAGAAAUGAGCCAGAGUUUCCUUAGGCAACGCCUUAUGCUGUAUCAUAUACUAAUGAACUCCUAAAUGAUGUGCUAGGCUGGGAGCAUGGCUCAGAGAUGGAGCCGGUGGUGCACAAGAGAGGCCCUAGGUUCAGCCCUAUUAACUGACUAAUGAGCACUGUUUACAGAGUUAACUUAAGUGUGACCAAUUUCUUAGGCUUACAGUACAGUUCUUUAGCACCAAAACCUUGGUUGGAGUCAAAACAAAUGAAAUGAAAUAAUGAAGUGAGCCUCUGUGGCAUGCCAAGGCAAACGGAUUGCGAAUUCAAAUUUAUUCUAGCACAGGCAGCUUAGCAAGCUCUUACUAUCGAACUUUAAAGCAGCUUGGUUUAUAGUCAGGUGGGAGAGCACUUAGUUAGCACGUGUGACCACUGGGUUUUAUAAAACUGAAGUCCCGGGAAACAGUGCAAGAUGCUUCCAUCAUGUGAUGGUGAUCAGUCUCACCAGAGAAAGUGAGCAGAAGUUGGUGCUCAAAAGGAAAUUUCAGUUAAUACAGCCUGUUUUGUCCUGGCUUAUUUGUGGAGUUGAAGACCUAUGUACUGGCACAUGCCCUAGUGUGUGUGCAUAUGUGUGCGUGUGUGUGCGUGUGCGUGUGUGUGUGUGUGUGUGUGUGUGUGUAACAGUCUUCUACUCACUAACCCAUGGUAUGUCUCAGUUUCAUCUGGCAACUGAGUUCUUCUAAAUGGUUAAGAAAAUGCUGCCUUAGAGCCUGUUGUAUAUUUAUGUGUUGGAGUCUGUGCUUAUCAGUAUUUUCAGCUAGUCUUCAUUGUGCGUGAAAUAUUAGAGUGGUCUGAUGAUAAGAAAUUCUGUAUUUUUAUUCUGUAAAUUAGAAUAAUCAAAAAAUGUAUCAAAUUGUAUGAUAUAUGCAUUACUUCAAAUAGGAAAUGUAAAGUGGAAAACCAGGGACCAGGAGCUGCAGUGCCCUCCCCAGCAGUGAGUGGACAACUUCCAGUGGAGUCCAUUUGGGUCCCUCAGAUGUAGAGAUGGUGCCCUCUGUGGUGUCUUUGGCAUUCAAACUUUAGAACACAUCCCAGUCAACUCCAAAAUGGCUGCUAGUCACAGCAUUUCUCUCAGCAUCGAAGUCGUUAUGGUGAAAGGUAGUCUGCAGGAGUGCAGUGGUAGAGGCAGGAGCACCUGGCACUUCUCAUGGCUGCCAUUUCCCAGGCCUCCAGGAAACACUAGGGUUAUAAGUAGAAUCAUGUCAUUUUGAGUUUUUAGUUUUUGAACCAUAGCCUUUGUCAAUAUUUGUUUUGUUUUAACCACCAGAACACUUGAAAACUCAGUAAAAAUUUCAUUAAAGAAAAGCUUUCAAAAUGUUUAAGAAUAAAAAGUAGUGUCCAGUUAUAGAUGGUUCUGCCCUGUACCUGAGAGAUCUCCGUGCUCCCUAGCCCUGUUUCUGCUCUCCCUUAAUUAUUCCCCCAGCAUUCCCCUGACCAUUCUGACCAGACCAAUCAGUGGGUGCUCAACAGUCAUACUAACUCAUGGCUGUUUCCCUUGCUACUGCUGUAAAAUGUCUGUUUAGGACUCAGGCCAACCUUGACAAUCUAACAGUGAAAUGGAAUAGAGGACAGGGGAGGGUUGGUGGAACCCAGCCGUCCUCUGGAGAUGGGGGGCAGCUCUUUCCCUGAUCCUAUGUGGCUCUAAAACGAGCACAUAUGUGAAAGGGCCUUAGAAUAGCAAAAAUAGCCAAGUUUUGGCCAUGGGGACACACAUGCCUGUAUGGGGCGAGAGGUUCACUCUCAAUUCAAUGACUGUUGCCGGGCGGUGGUGUCUUACACCUUUAAUCCCAGCACUUGGGAUGCAGAGGCAGGCGGAUUUCUGAGUUUGAGGCCAGCUUGGUCUACAGAGUGAGUUCCAGAAACCCUGUCUCGAAAAAACGAAAAAAAAAGAAAUUCAAGGACUGUGUCUGGGCUGCAUAACAAGACCUUGUCUCAACACACACACACACAUACACACACACAGGCUAAAUAUUAACUACAUGUGACGUAGGCCAAAGUCUCUGUAAGUUGUAAUUUCAUAGGUCUUGUCAGGUGUAUUUCAGCAGUCUCUGGCUUCAGCAAGUGCGCCAUUAAUUCUGACUUGAUAGUGCCCAGUGAGCAUGGCCUGUGCUGCCUUGUGGUAGAACCAUGCGUAUAUACAUCAAAGGGAUCAGAUUCCUUUUGUCAAUUUUGGCAUUUCAGAAUGGAUUUUUAAACACCAGUCAAGGAUAGGUCAGUGUUGGCUGAUACCACAUGCUUAGACUGUGUGAGAACCCUUGUCCAGUCUCCAGCACCUUCACUUUGAGAGACAGUAAAAUCCUUUCCUUCAGAAGUGGUGAUCCUGCUGUGUUCUGCAAGUCUACCAAAGAUUCUUGUGAGGAGUUUCUCAGCGCCUGUGUGUGCAGACAUGUACCCUCCUGCUUCCUUCACGGUGUUAGCUCCAGCCCCUCCGCUUAGUCAUCUGCAGAGGGCUAAGACAGGACCGCAGGCAGCUGGCACAAGCAACUCUGUUCCCUUUGCCAAAACCUCCAAAGUUAGAAAUGAAGUUGUUUGCGUCUGUGGUGAGGGAAUUGACCAGCCAUUGCUUCAGCCUCCUUCCCGAGUAAGCACCUUCUUGGUGCCUGGGUAGCCCUGGGAGGACAGUGGUGACCUGCACCACAAAACCUGCAAGACAUUAUUUUGAAUGGAACAUUUGAUGUCAUUUUUAGGGAACAGAAACCAAAUAACAGAGGCCAAGGACCAUGCGUAUUUCAAGGAGGGAAGAUGAGCGCCCUCUGCUGGCAGUAUUUGUAGUUGAUUGAGUGAGGAGCUCUAAGCAGCCUGGAAGGAGUGCUGAGGUCAGCAGGCCUCAGGAAUCCUUAACAUGCAAACAAUCUUGAGGGGAAACCAGAAGGUCAUUCCUAGCAGUUACUGUAAUACCUCUCAUUGCAGGCUGUUGGGUUUCUGUCGUUCACUCGGUGUGAUUUAUCUUAUGUAUCUGAUAGUUUUUAUGGAUAAUUGUUUGGGUUGUAAACUCCUAUACUCUUUAUUAAAA